rnacentral:lncRNA from 1 species
UAUAUGGAUGUAAAAAUUUCCUACUCAGUAGUUAUUUAUUUUACACUUUUUUGGGUUUAAAGUUGCAAUUUCAUUGAUAAUCAAAAUAUUUACAAUCUUCUCAAAACAGUCUUGGAUUGACUGCUAUCUAUAGUUCUAUCACUACUUCUCUCUAUAAAGAUAAUCAAAACAAAUUAAGCUUGAUCCCUACUACUACAAUCUCCUAGUCUAGGGAUAUGCAUUA